CAGACUCCUACGGGAGGCAGCAGCGGGGAAUAUUGCGCAAUGGACGGAAGUCAGACGCAGCGACGCCGCGUGGGUGAAGAAGGCCUUCGGGUUGUAAAGCCCUUUUCUGAGGGAAGAGAAAGGACGGUACCUUAGGGAUAAGCGUCGGCUAACUACGUGCCAGCAGCCGCGGUAAGACGUAGGACGCGAGCGUUAUCCGGAUUUACUGGGCGUAAAGCGUGUGUAGGCGGCGUGACAAGUUGGGCGUGAAAGCCCCGUGCUCAACGCGGGGAGGCCGCACAAUACUGUCAGGCUAGAGGGCACCAGAGGGGUGUGGAAUUCCCGGAGUAGCGGUAAAAUGCGCAGAUAUCGGGAGGAACACCGGUGGCGAAAGCGGCACCCUGGGGUGCGCCUGACGCUGAGAGACGACAGCUAGGGGAGCGAACAGGAUUAGAGACCCUGGUAGUCCUAGCCGUAAACGAUGGAUGCUAGGUGUAGGAGUGAAGAGCUUCUGUGCCGCAGCGAACGCGAUAAGCAACCCGCCUGGGGAGUACGGCCGCAAGGUUAAAACUCAAACGAAUUGACGGGGACCCGCACAAGCAGCGGAGCGUGUGGUUUAAUUCGAUGCUACACGAAGAACCUUACCUGGGAUUGACAUAUGGGUGGUAGUGAUCCGAAAGGAGAGCGACCCUUCGGGGAGCCUAUACAGGUGCUGCAUGGCUGUCGUCAGCUCGUGCCGUGAGGCGUCGGGUUAAGUCCCGUAACGAGCGCAACCCUUGUCCUUAGUUACAAGUGUCUAAGGGGACUGCCGGCGGGAAGCCGGAGGAAGGUGGGGAUGACGUCAAGUCAGCAUGGCCCUUAUAUCCAGGGCGACACACACGCUACAAUGGUCGGUACAGAGGGCAGCGAAGCCGCGAGGUGGAGCGAAACCCAGAAAGCCGGUCGUAGUUCGGAUUGCAGGCUGCAACUCGCCUGCAUGAAGUUGGAGUUGCUAGUAACCGCAGGUCAGCCAUACUGCNGGUGAUACGUUCCCGGGUCUUGUACACACCGCCCGUCACGUCAUGGGAGUCUGUAACGCAUGAAGGCGGUAGCCUGACCGCAAGGGAGGCGCUGUCGAGGGCGGGGCUG
rnacentral:rRNA from 1 species